AUUGAACGCUGGCGGCAUGCCUUACACAUGCAAGUCGAACGGCAGCACGGGUGCUUGCACCUGGUGGCGAGUGGCGAACGGGUGAGUAAUACAUCGGAACAUGUCCUGUAGUGGGGGAUAGCCCGGCGAAAGCCGGAUUAAUACCGCAUACGAUCUACGGAUGAAAGCGGGGGACCUGCGGGCCUCGCGCGAUAGGGUUGGCCGAUAGCUGAUUAGCUAGUUGGUGGGGUAAAGGCCUACCAAGGCGACGAGCAGUAGCUGGUCUGAGAGGACGACCAGCCACCCUGGGACUGAGACACGGCCCAGACUCCUACGGGAGGCAGCAGUGGGGAAUUUUGGACAAUGGGCGAAAGCCUGAUCCAGCAAUGCCGCGUGUGUGAAGAAGGCCUUCGGGUUGUAAAGCACUUUUGUCCGGAAAGAACUCCUUGGCUCUAAUACAGUCGGGGGAUGACGGUACCGGAAGAAUAAGCACCGGCUAACUACGUG
rnacentral:rRNA from 1 species